AGGUCCCGCCCCCUCCCCGGCGCGGCGCGUUCCGCGGGGCGGGCGGGUGCGUGGGGGCUUCGUGCGGGUGUGGGGCCGGGGAUGUCCUGCCGGUGUCGGGGAAGCAGGCGGCCCCGGCGGCCUAGCCGAGGUGAGGCGGCCCGCAGCGCCGCGGGGAAGGCUCCGUGGGGCCGGCAACGGCGGCAGCGACAGCCCGGGCUGUGCGUGGGGAUCCGCUGCACAGCCUCAGCGUGUCUUCGCAGCGAGCGCGCGCGCCGCUGGAGCUGCUCCGCCUUAACAUUUUAAUGUAUCUGAAGGGAGCGAGGCGAGGGCCAGUGCAGGGCUCCCCACAGCAAAAAGGUCUUGAAAGCUGGUGCCGUGUGUCUGGGCGGGAUCCCAGCCGCGGAACCACGGCGCCAUGUAGGUUGGAAGAGGCCUCCAAAAUUCGUCUGAGGGAGCGCCAGAGCAGGGCCAGCUUAGAGCGAGUUGCUCGGAGUUUUGUCCAGUUGCGUUUUCCAAGGGUGGAAAUUCCACAGCUUCGCUGAGCCUCUCAUCCAAGUUCUGUUCACCAUGAUUUUGGACUGCUGAAACAGUUCUGGAGGAGAUGGAAGAGAGCCACCUUCUGUGCACUUCACCAUCGCUUGCUAAUAAUCUUGUUCUGUUCUCUGUGACAAUGCAGCAGUCACCCUUCACCUCUGGACAUUGUGAAAUGAUGGACAGUACCCUUCUGCAGCAUAUACAUUCAUAAGGCCCUGAGGCCAUUAUUCCUUUGGCUAAGCAAGAGAUUGGAGCCAUUUUAUCAUGUAGCAACACAAAUAAAUAAAACGAGAGAGUUGCAA